AUUGAACGCUGGCGGCAGGCUUAACACAUGCAAGUCGAGCGAGUGGCGGACGGGUGAGUAACGUCUGGGAAACUGCCUGAUGGAGGGGGAUAACUACUGGAAACGAUAGCUAAUACCGCAUACCAUCAGAUGUGCCCAGAUGGGAUUAGCUAGUAGGGGGGGUAACGGCUCACCAAGGCGACGAUCCGUAGCUGGUCUGAGAGGAUGACCGGCCACACUGGAACUGAGACACGGUCCAGACUCCUACGGUAGGCAGCAUUGGGGAAUAUUGGACAAUGGGCGCAAGCCUGAUGCAGCCAUGCCGCGUGUGUGAAGAAGGCCUUCGGGUUGUAAAGCACUUUCAGCGGGGAGGCGUUACCCGCAGAAGAAGCACCGGCUAACUCCGUGCCAGCAGCCGCGGUAAUUC
rnacentral:rRNA from 1 species